rnacentral:misc_RNA from 1 species
GAUGAAGAACGCAGCGAAAUGCGAUACGUAAUGUGAAUUGCAAAUUCAGUGAAUCAUCAAGUCUUUGAACGCACAUUGCGCCCCCUGGUAUUCCGGGGGGCAUGCCUGUCCGAGCGUCAUUGCUGCCCUCAAGCACGGCUUGUGUGUUGGGCCCCGUCCUCCGAUCCCGGGGGACGGGCCCGAAAGGCAGCGGCGGCACCGCGUCCGGUCCUCGAGCGUAUGGGGCUUUGUCACCCGCUCUGUAGGCCCGGCCGGCGCUUGCCGAUCAACCCAAAUUUUUAUCCUGGUUGACCUCGGAUCAGGUAGGGAUACCCGCUGAACUUAAGCAUAUCAAUAAGCGGAGGA